rnacentral:rRNA from 1 species
GGUCAAGCUACAAAGGGCUCACGGAGGAUACCUAGGCACACAGAGGCGAUGAAGGACGUGGUUACCUGCGAUAAGUCUCGGGGAGUUGGAAGCACACUUUGAUCCGGGAAUUUCCGAAUGGGGCAACCCCUUGAACGACCAACUGAAUAUAUAG